CCGCUCAGGACGAACGCGGGCGGCGUGCCUAAUACAUGCAAGUCGAGCGGACAGAUGGGAGCUUGCUCCCUGAUGUUAGCGGCGGACGGGUGAGUAACACGUGGGUAACCUGCCUGUAAGACUGGGAUAACUCCGGGAAACCGGGGCUAAUACCGGAUGCUUGUUUGAACCGCAUGGUUCAAACAUAAAAGGUGGCUUCGGCUACCACUUACAGAUGGACCCGCGGCGCAUUAGCUAGUUGGUGAGGUAANGGCUCACCAAGGCAACGAUGCGUAGCCGACCUGAGAGGGUGAUCGGCCACACUGGGACUGAGACACGGCCCAGACUCCUACGGGAGGCAGCAGUAGGGAAUCUUCCGCAAUGGACGAAAGUCUGACGGAGCAACGCCGCGUGAGUGAUGAAGGUUUUCGGAUCGUAAAGCUCUGUUGUUAGGGAAGAACAAGUACCGUUCGAAUAGGGCGGUACCUUGACGGUACCUAACCAGAAAGCCACGGCUAACUACGUGCCAGCAGCCGCGGUAAUACGUAGGUGGCAAGCGUUGUCCGGAAUUAUUGGGCGUAAAGGGCUCGCAGGCGGUUCCUUAAGUCUGAUGUGAAAGCCCCCGGCUCAACCGGGGAGGGUCAUUGGAAACUGGGGAACUUGAGUGCAGAAGAGGAGAGUGGAAUUCCACGUGUAGCGGUGAAAUGCGUAGAGAUGUGGAGGAACACCAGUGGCGAAGGCGACUCUCUGGUCUGUAACUGACGCUGAGGAGCGAAAGCGUGGGGAGCGAACAGGAUUAGAUACCCUGGUAGUCCACGCCGUAAACGAUGAGUGCUAAGUGUUAGGGGGUUUCCGCCCCUUAGUGCUGCAGCUAACGCAUUAAGCAUCC
rnacentral:rRNA from 1 species